rnacentral:rRNA from 1 species
AAAGGAAUUGACGGGGGCCCGCACAAGCGGUGGAGCAUGUGGUUUAAUUCGAUGAUACGCGAGGAACCUUACCUGGGCUCAAUGCAAUAUGCUUUAUGGUGAAAGCUAUAAUUCUUCGGACGUAUUGCAAGGUGCUGCAUGGUUGUCGUCAGCUCGUGCCGUGAGGUGUCGGGUUAAGUCCCAUAACGAGCGCAACCCCUAUCAUUAGUUGCCAUCAGGUCAAGCUGGGGACUCUAGUGAAACUGCCUACGCAAGUAGAGAGGAAGGUGGGGAUGACGUCAAAUCAGCACGGCCCUUAUGUCCAGGGCUACACACGUGCUACAAUGGCCGGUACAGUGGGCAGCUACUUAGUGAUAAGGUGCUAAUCUCCAAAGCCGGUCUCAGUUCGGAUCGAAGUCUGCAACUCGACUUUGUGAAGCUGGAAUCGCUAGUAAUCGCACAUCAGCCAUGGUGCGGUGAAUACGUUCCCGGGCCUUGUACACACCGCCCGU